GUUUAACAAUUGGAAAUUGAGAAGUUUAAAAUCUCUUUUUUUCUUCUGAGAUUUUCAAAUUUGGAGAUCUCAAAAACACAUCUCGAUAUCUAAGCCACCACCCUCGAAUCUCAUCAUCGCCGCUGCCAUUGGCACUCAAGAUCUUGCCAUCCUCUUCUUGAUGCUUGUUUCACCGGAGCUAUAUAUAGGCUACCACCCUUGCUUCAAGCAGUGUUCAUUGCCUUCUCAUCAUCGUUAACGGGAAGCCAUGUUGAGAGAUGACAUAUACUCUUGUUUUACCGGAGCACUAAGCGGUUGUCAUCGUCGGAGUUCUUCAUUAUCGUUGAUGGAGCCGAGAUCGAGAGAAAUCAUGUCUCAAUAAGAGAUUAUUCAACAAGGGCAAAAUCGUCAUUCGACAAGAAAAAGAGUGCCUAUUUCUAUAAACAUUUUGCAAUAGUGCCGUAUCUUAUAAGAUUUUUAU